rnacentral:rRNA from 1 species
CACGCCCUAAACGAUGAUCUCUAGCUUUGAGGAGUAUCGACCCUCUUCGAGGCUAAGCUAACGCGAUAAGAGAUCCGCCUGGGUANGAUAAACGAAGAACCUUACCAGGCUUAGAUAUCCAGACGAAGAUUCUAGGAAACUAGGAUCGCCGUAAGGCGGCUGGACAGGUGC